rnacentral:rRNA from 1 species
AACAGGAUUAGAUACCCUGGUAGUCCACGCCGUAAACGAUGUCGACUUGGAGGUUGUUCCCUUGAGGAGUGGCUUCCGGAGCUAACGCGUUAAGUCGACCGCCUGGGGAGUACGGCCGCAAGGUUAAAACUCAAAUGAAUUGACGGGGGCCCGCACAAGCGGUGGAGCAUGUGGUUUAAUUCGAUGCAACGCGAAGAACCUUACCUACUCUUGACAUCCAGAGAACUUAGCAGAGAUGCUUUGGUGCCUUCGGGAACUCUGAGACAGGUGCUGCAUGGCUGUCGUCAGCUCGUGUUGUGAAAUGUUGGGUUAAGUCCCGCAACGAGCGCAACCCUUAUCCUUUGUUGCCGGCGGUUCGGCCGGGAACUCAAAGGAGACUGCCAGUGAUAAACUGGAGGAAGGUGGGGAUGACGUCAAGUCAUCAUGGCCCUUACGAGUAGGGCUACACACGUGCUACAAUGGCGCAUACAAAGAGAAGCGACCUCGCGAGAGCAAGCGGACCUCAUAAAGUGCGUCGUAGUCCGGAUCGGAGUCUGCAACUCGACUCCGUGAAGUCGGAAUCGCUAGUAAUCGUAGAUCAGAAUGCUACGGUGAAUACGUUCCCGGGCCUUGUACACACCGCCCGUCACACCAUGGGAGUGGGUUGCAAAAGAAGUAGGUAGCUUAACCUUCGGGAGGGCGCUUACCACUUUGUGAUUCAUGACUGGGGUGAAGUCGUAACAAGGUAACC